GCAAGUGGGGCUCAGCGUGGAUGGCUCAGAGGGGCCAUUGGUGGGUCGUGCUUUUGGAGAUGGCGCCCGCCUGGGUGAGGAACGGCCUGGAAGCUUCAGACCCCUGAAGUUUGGACAGGGUGUGGGGGGCCGAGCCCAGGACUCGGUGACGCCGGGGCCCUGUUCUGCGUGCUCUGCGGCCGUGGGGGUCUUUCCAGACGGAACGAUGGGUUGUGAGUGAUAAUUACAGGAGAUGACACACACUAGAUUCUAGAGACCGAGUGCUCGGCAGCGGCCGUAUGGAAUGUGCCAGCAACGAGCAGGCGGUACGCGGGUUCUGCCGCCCCAGACGGGCACCGCUCACGGUUUGAGAGAUUUUCUUCCAGGUGAAUUUUUUUUUUUUUUU